GAUGAAGAACGUAGUGAAAUGCGAUAAGUAGUGUGAAUUGCAGAAUUCAGUGAAUCAUCGAAUCUUUGAACGCACAUUGCGCCCUUUGGUAUUCCUUAGGGCAUGCCUGUUCGAGCGUCAUUUAAACCUUCAAGCUAAGCUUGGUGUUGGGUGACUGUCCGCUUCACGGCGGACUCGCCUCAAAAUUAUCGGCGGCCGGUACAUUGGCUUCGAGCGCAGCAGAAACGCGAACUCGGGCCCGUCGUAUUGGCUCCCAGAAGCUAUCUUCACAAUUUUGACCUCGGAUCAGGUAGGGAUACCCGCUGAACUUAAGCAUAUCAAUAAGCGGAGGA
rnacentral:misc_RNA from 1 species